AUUUCAAAGAAAAGAAAUGUUUCUCUCAAAACUGGAAGUCAAAACAUUUUGAAGAUCAUUUCUGCCUCUGAAAUGCUGUUUAAAGGCAUUAGACACUCUGCUGUCUUUCUAGAAACCCGGGUUAAUUGCUGCCUUUACAGAGUUUCCAAAUGCCUUGGGAGUUAAACCCAAGCAGUAUGUUAAAAAAAGGGGCCCUUGUUCCUCAGAAAGCGAGUGCUGCUGCUGUGAUCCUGGGAUGAAGAGGGAGAUGGUCUCAUCUCAGACCUUUCCUACUCCUGAAAAAGUUGAGGGCUCUAAUAGGUACAGAGGGAGCUGGAGACCACCGGUGGAUGAGGCCCCCAGAACUUUAAUCAGUUGGGAAACUCCAGCAACAGUGAAAUCUCACGCUGCCCGGGUCACUACUCAGUGAGAGGACAGAGGACAGGACCCAGGAUGGAGACUCAUGAGAUAUUUCUGCUGAGGAGGCUUUUGUCCCCCUGCAUUGCUUUGCUGCAGUGAGCUGUGAGUUUGAGGACGAGUCCACAUGGAGAGCCUUCAGCUCAGUAGCCAGAGGGCUGAGCCUCUGCCAGCUCCAGCUGCAAGCCCUGCUGGCACUGAAAGUAUGCAAGGUCUUCUGACAAUCUCUCAGAUCUCAGUUCAGCAGUAACACAUCACCUUUUUCAGACAGUUAACAAAAUGGAAUCCCAGACAUUAAAAUGCACACGUGUUUUCAUAGUGUUAUGGCCAGUAAAUCCCACUCUGAGGUCCCUUGGGUUUGCCUGAGUCAUCUGGGCACACCUCAGCUCGACGCAUUCCUAUGUGCAGAGGCAAAAAAAAUGUGUUUAGAGAAAAUUGUUUGCAAUUUCAAUGGACUGCUGUAGCUGCAGCACAGGCUUGAGGGACAGAUGCUCUGCUGCCAUUCUCGUGCUGUCCCUCAGCACACAACAAUCGCCAAUACCAGAACAAAGGAGACCUUCAGAUCAUACUGAGCCUUAAAGGAGGAAACUGCUCAUCUGGUAACACUGGCAGGGCCUGGGCUCAGCAGGACUUUGCCAGAAGACUCCCCUGCCCUGUAUAGGUAAGUCUGAAUUCGUCACCUUGGGUACCGCUCCCUGCUUGGUGCUCUGCUGAGGAAGCUCGAGGUGCUCCCUCAAGGUGCUCCUGAAGCUUGUGGUGUAUCUCAUCAUCUCAGGCUCUGGGACCUGGUGGCAUCCACCUGCCUGCUGCCCACGAAGGAAGAAUGGGCACAGCCAGAUACAGCCUCCAACUCCACCCUACCCACAGCUCUCAUUUAAAAACCUGCAGGUGAUGGGACAAAGAAGCUGUGCUGGGACAGAAGGACACCUGGCUGUUGCUGAGCCCAUGGGAUGGAGAUUUUGGGAAGCUAAAAAAUUGUUUGAGAAUUCAGCAACACCCUCACCCCUGGUGGCAGUUAUCACCUCAAGAUGGUCAAGAUACCACAGAGACAGUUUCUAAGUAAAUAACUUGCUUCUUCAUGCAACCUUCCGUCAGCCUCGCAGCCAGCUGCCCCAGAUGGCUGGAGAGCCCAGGACGGUACCUGCGUCGUGAGAGGAAGCGCCAAGUCGCAUGAAUAAUAGAAGCGCCGCGGCUGUGGCAUGUGGAGCGGAUCCUUUCCCUUCACAGCCCCGGCUCUGGGCUGAAGAGCUGCUGGAAAGCCACCAUGGCCCUUCCCCACAGCAGGGCCACCCCAGUGGGCACUCAGGAGGGGGAAGCUGUGACCCUGGGCAGAGGAGGCUGUGCUGGGGGCUGCCGAGAAAGGCACCGUGGCAGUGUGAAGCUCCUGCUCCCCUUCAGCACAGGGUUUCUCUUCGCUCCCACCUGAUUAUGAGUGAAAACCAAAAGGUUAAAAGCGUUUAAUUAUGCUGAUGCUUUCCCAGCAGAUUAAACAAGAGGAUAAAUAGACUA